UGGUUUUUUUAGUCUACAAUAAAACUAUUGGCACAUGAAGAAAUUAUAUGUUAAAACUAUAAUUGGUAAGCAUGUUCUAUGUUACAAGCUCUUCAUGCAAAUUCUCUGCAUCUAACACAAUUCACCCAUAAAUAUUUUGUCCCGCAAAAUGAAUUUCCAACAAAAAUAAUAAUAUAGCCGGUGAUAUUUUCUCCCCUCAAAUGUGAAUACUUCACCCACAAGACCAUACAAUCUCAACAUCAUUGUUGUGUCCCUGCCAAAGAGACCUAUGUUAGCUGAUUCCAAAUUUGAUUUUUUAGUAAAAAGAUGUUCAUAUUAAAUAAUGGUAAGUAACACGUGAUAGAAAGACCACACUAUAGCUCUGUUGCAAUAGCAAGUAAGAAUAAAACCAUACAAUUAAUAUAAGAAAAUACCAGUUUAUAGAGACAUAAGUAGGAGAAAAAUGAUAAGAAGUUCCUUAAGUACUGCACUUGGAAUUCUUGUUAAUUAAUCUUUUGUUGCUUGCCUGAAGCUGAUAACCAUGAAAAUUAAUACUACAAUACACAUCUUGAAUUAUUAGCUUAGCAUGAACCCCACUUCGAACAAGAAUAACCUGAUGUAUAACGGAGGUCUAAUAAUGAUUACCCACUUGAGUUGUUCAAAAUUGCUCAAAUAACAUUUCAAUCAAGAAAAAGCAAUCAUUUUAUAUAUUCAAUUUACCUGAUACACUAAUACCAACCAAACUACUUCAUCCAUUUCUCGUUUUCAUUUCCAACUCAAAGAAACCAAAUAAAUAAUUCAGCAUGAUAUUAAUUAAAGCAGCAUUUAUUUCUCUUCUUUUAUUAGUAUAUUCAAGAAACAACAUAAACAAAUCCACAACAUGCAAUUAUUUUCAACUACUCAUAUAAUGCUCCAAACAUCUAAAAUUUUACCAAAUUAACGAUCAAUUCAUCGCUCAACUUCUGCGCACCGAAUCUAUUUCAAGAUUUUAUGUUUUUUUGACCUAAGGUAAAUCACCAAUAGCUAUAAGACACUAUCAACCACAUUUGAGCACCCCAUAAUGGUUGAUUUACAAUUUUUUGGGAGUCCUAAAUUGUUUAUCAGCUUUGUAUCGAGGUACUUAGAAUAUCAAUACCCACCUUAAGCAUAAUAGAUAGAACUUAAUAUUGUUGCGUGCUUAGUGUCUUGAUUAAUACAUGUAUAUCAUUUAUGCGGGGGCUAUGUUAUAUCUCUAACAUAUCCCUCAUUUUGAUUCAUUGGUCAGUGCCAUCAAUUCUACUAUUUAGUCUUUUUCCUCAUACAACAAAUCUUACUUGGUCUUUCCUAAAGUUAAGGUCAUUAUUUCACAGCUGGUCAGGUAGUUCAAUAAUGUUAAAAAGCUUAAACAAUUCCAUAAGUUCGUGCAGAAAAUGCUAAAAUGGCUACACAUUAGAAAAUUCACAAAAAGGCAGCAAUAAAAAUUCAAAUAAGCAAAGUAAGCAGUGGGAAGCAACAUCUAUAUGGAAUGUUUAAUAUUUUAUUUUUUGGAUUUCCACCUUAUUAGUUAUCUUCAGAUUAAGUUAUCAUGUCAUCUUUUAGAAUGUCUCCAAGUUUCAACUUCUUAUCUUAAAAAUAUGCUUCCUCAAGAAGGAGAAAUAAGAUGAGGAAAAAUGACUACAGGAACACGAAAAAAAAGUACCUUGUACUGGACAAAAAGAGACCAUAUACCUAAUACAGAAAACAACAGUGGCAACCUUUGCAUCGCAUAGAACGGAAGGUCCCCAACUUCUUCAAAAAAUCCAACAAGCUUCUUCUA
rnacentral:lncRNA from 1 species